UGCCAGCCGCCGCGGUAACACGGGGGGCGCAAGCGUUAUUCGGAAUUAUUGGGCGUAAAGAGCAUGUAGGCGGAUGAAUUAGUCAGAGGUGAAAGCCCCGAGCUCAACUUGGGAACUGCCUUUGAUACUGUUUAUCUAGAGUCCGAGAGAGGUUAGUGGAAUUCCCAGUGUAGAGGUGAAAUUCGUAGAUAUCAGGAGGAACACCGAUGGCGAAGGCAUCUCUCUGGGUCGAUAUUGACGCUGAGGCGCGAAGGCGUGGGUAGCGAACGGGAUUAGAUA
rnacentral:rRNA from 1 species